GUGCGCGUCCGGCCGCGCGGCCGGGGCUCCCUCCUUGCAGCGGGACAGCGGGCUGGUGCACCUCGAGAUGUGGGCCCGCCAGGACCGCCGCGCUCCGGGAGCCCCAGUCCGGUGUCCGCGUUCUCUGGGUGUGGAGUGAGGGCUCUGGGGCCGGCGAGAGGGCGUGGACUGUUCGCUCCGCCUCCGCGGGCUCCGGAACCGGGUAGGAGGAGAGCGCCUGCCCCGCGACCAACCGGGCCUUGCACCCAGACUUUAAAUUCCGGAGAUGUCACCCAGAGGAUCAUGGCUUUACUUUGUUUUAAAGUCAGCUGGGAGGCCAAAAGAAGAUAUAUUACCUAGUCGUAGAAACCGCCGCCGCUGCGGAGAAGCAGCUUGGCCUAGGCUCAAAAGCCACAGCAUACGGAUCAGAAACAGCGAUGAAGUAGCCCUGCUUGCUGAGUUCAUCCACUGCCACUUUUUCAAGGCUCCAUUGAAAGACCUGGGUUCUUGGUGCACAGAGAUGCCCUUCAGGAUAGCCGGCA